CAAUAAACAGUCCAUGUCAUACACAUUUUUAACAGUCCAGAAAUAUCCAGUUAUAAACUCUUACCAGUUUCACAUCUUAUACAGCAGACAAAUAUCAAACCAUAAUAUAACAGAUAACCUUCGAUAUCAACAGAAUAUCAAAAUAAACAUGCUUAAUCAAUAUCAGUCCAUAGUCAGUCAGUAUCAAUAUCAAGAGAGAUCAUCAGCAACAGAGAACAAU